rnacentral:lncRNA from 1 species
AUCUUCCCUGCGACAUCCUAGAAAAAAGGCUUUUGUCUUAGGCUUCUCCCAGUCAUCUAAGUGUUGAAGUUGGCCGGCUCUUCUGCCAUUUUAUCACCCUCGACAGAUGUCUGAUUAGCUGGGAGGAUGGACUUGGCUAAGGCAAGAUGCACAUGGACAGGGACGUGGUGGAGCAGAUCCCUGUGCCAGAUUCCAACAUGGAGUUGACCUGGACAGGAAGGAAGAAGACCUGAGACGUGGCCCCUCUGAGUCAUAUUCUCCCAGCCCGGCUUCAUGAUUUCGUCUGAAGUAAACGCCUGGGGCGACAGAUAACCCUGCCCCACUAAGAGCCUGCUCUGACGUCUCCAGCCGCCAUUCUCCUCUUAGGCUCCCAGUAGCUGUCUCUGGACAAUGCAGACAACAUAUUUUUGGUGCUUGGUUACAAUAUAUUUUGGCAUUUUAUUAUGUGGUCUCUUGUCUGAUUUCUAGGUCUUCCGUGCGCCUGACUCUCGCCUCAUCAUGAGGUUAUAAACCUUGAC